UACAGAGGUCUCAAGCGUUGUUCGGAUUCAUUGGGCGUAAAGGGUGCGUAGGCGGCGUGGUAAGUCGGGUGUGAAAUCUCGGAGCUUAACUCCGAAACUGCAUUCGAUACUGCCGUGCUUGAGGACUGGAGAGGAGACUGGAAUUUACGGUGUAGCGGUGAAAUGCGUAGAUAUCAGGAGGAACACCGGUGGCGAAGGCGGGUCUCUGGGCCGAUACUGACGCUGAGGAGCGAAAGCGUGGGGAGCGAACAGG
rnacentral:rRNA from 1 species